AUGCGAUAAGUAAUGUGAAUUGCAGAAUUCAGUGAAUCAUCGAAUCUUUGAACGCACAUUGCGCCCGCUAGUAUUCUGGCGGGCAUGCCUGUUCGAGCGUCAUUUCAACCAUCAAGCCCCGGGCUUGUGUUGGGGACCUGCGGCUGCCGCAGCCCCCGAAAAGCAGUGGCGGUCUCGCUGUCAUACCGAGCGCAGUAGUUUGUCUUCGCUCCGGGCGUGGCGGCGGGUGCCGGCCGUGAAACCACCAUCUCAAGGUUGACCUCGGAUCAGGUAGGAAUACCCGCUGAACUUAA
rnacentral:misc_RNA from 1 species